AGUGUAGAGGUGGCAGGUAGCCUAGUGGUUAGAGUGUAGAGGAGGCAGGUAGCCUAGUGGUUAGAGUGUAGAGGUGGCAGGUAGCCUAGUGGUUAGAGUGUAGAGGAGGCAGGUAGCCUAGUGGUUAGAGUGUAGAGGAGGCAGGUAGCCUAGUGGUUAGAGUGUAGAGGUGGCAGGUAGCCUAGUGGUUAGAGUGUAGAGGUGGCAGGUAGCCUAGUGGUUAGAGUGUAGAGGUGGCAGGUAGCCUAGUGGUUAGAGUGUAGAGGUGGCAGGUAGCCUAGUGGUUAGAGUGUAGAGGUGGCAGGUAGCCUAGUGGUUAGAGUGUAGAGGUGGCAGGUAGCCUAGUGGUUAGAGUGUAGAGGAGGCAGGUAGCCUAGUGGUUAGAGUGUAGAGGUGGCAGGUAGCCUAGUGGUUAGAGUGUAGAGGUGGCAGGUAGCCUAGUGGUUAGAGUGUAGAGGUAGCAGGUAGCCUAGUGGUUAGAGUGUAGAGGAGGCAGGUAGCCUAGUGGUUAGAGUGUAGAGGUGGCAGGUAGCCUAGUGGUUAGAGUGUAGAGGUGGCAGGUAGCCUAGUGGUUAGAGUGUAGAGGUGGCAGGUAGCCUAGUGGUUAGAGUGUAGAGGUGGCAGGUAGCCUAGUGGUUAGAGGGUAGAGGUGGCAGGUAGCCUAGUGGUUAGAGUGUAGAGGAGGCAGGUAGCCUAGUGGUUAGAGUGUAGAGGUGGCAGGUAGCCUAGUGGUUAGAGUGUAGAGGUGGCAGGUAGCCUAGUGGUUAGAGUGUAGAGGUGGCAGGUAGCCUAGUGGUUAGAGUGUAGAGGUGGCAGGUAGCCUAGUGGUUAGAGUGUAGAGGAGGCAGGUAGCCUAGUGGUUAGAGUGUAGAGGCGGCAGGUAGCCUAGUGGUUAGAGUGUAGAGGCGGCAGGUAGCCUAGUGGUUAGAGUGUAGAGGUGGCAGGUAGCCUAGUGGUUAGAGUG